CUGGAUAUGAUGCAGAACACCUUGACAGUGAUUGCCAGUGAUGCUUGUUGUAUUCAUACUGUCUGAUCCAG
ensembl:snoRNA